rnacentral:rRNA from 1 species
UACGUAGGCAGCGAGCGUUGUUCGGAGUUACUGGGCGUAAAGAGUGCGUAGGCGGUUUUCUAAGUUUGGUGUGAAAUCUCCCGGCUCAACUGGGAGGGUGCGCCGAAGACUGGAAGACUAGAGUGUGGGAGAGGUAAGCGGAAUUCCUGGUGUAGCGGUGAAAUGCGUAGAUAUUGGGAAGAACACCGGUGGCGAAGGCGGCUCUCUGGACCGAUACUGACGCUGAGGCGCGAAAGCGUGGGGAGCAAACAGG